GAAAAAGCCCAGAUCCAAGUCGAGGAGUGAAGCCUGCAAGGAAACUAGCACUCUGGGGGCUUCGAAGUUCUAAUCGAAAUCAUCUUUGUGUGGAUACCAGCAGAGAUCGGAUACUUGCAUGACUUAGACGAGAAUCCUAGACAGCCGCAAGAUUCGAAGGAAAGCGAUCAGGUAUGGAGAUUUAAUCUCCUAUUCAUCUUUUUUCUUUUUCUUCCAGAUUUCAGAUUCAUGGUGACGUGUUCAUAUGAAGAUUCAAUGUGUGGUUUUCAAAUGUGAUCUGGUAUGUGUUUUAAAUUAAAAGUGUUUUAAUUUAUUUUAUUUCUACUGCAUAAUUCAUCUGAUGUUUGAAAAAUUUUAAAACUAUACGUACGAAGCUAUCGUACUUUCUAAUAUGUAA
rnacentral:lncRNA from 1 species